rnacentral:rRNA from 1 species
GAUGAACGCUGGCGGCGUGCCUAAUACAUGCAAGUCGAGCGAACAGACGAGGAGCUUGCUCCUCUGACGUUAGCGGCGGACGGGUGAGUAACACGCGGAUAACCUACCUAUAAGACUGGGAUAACUUCGGGAAACCGGAGCUAAUACCGGAUAAUAUAUUGAACCGCAUGGUUCAAUAGUGAAAGACGGUUUUGCUGUCACUUAUAGAUGGAUCCGCGCCGCAUUAGCUAGUUGGUAAGGUAACGGCUUACCAAGGCAACGAUGCGUAGCCGACCUGAGAGGGUGAUCGGCCACACUGGAACUGAGACACGGUCCAGACUCCUACGGGAGGCAGCAGUAGGGAAUCUUCCGCAAUGGGCGAAAGCCUGACGGAGCAACGCCGCGUGAGUGAUGAAGGUCCUCGGAUCGUAAAACUCUGUUAUUAGGGAAGAACAAAUGUGUAAGUAACUAUGCACGUCUUGACGGUACCUAAUCAGAAAGCCACGGCUAACUACGUG